rnacentral:rRNA from 1 species
AGCUCCAAUAGCGUAUAUUAAAGUUGCUGCAGUUAAAAAGCUCGUAGUUGGAUUUGUGGCGUGGUCGUCCGGCGGGGCUCCUUCAUUGGGGCCGUUUGUCUGGUAUUCGACUGCACCAUUCUCGGGUAGUGUGUUGCUGGCAUUAGGUUGUCGGCUUCUUCACGCCCGUCGUUUACUGUGAAAAAAUUAGAGUGUUCAAAGCAGGCUUAGGCCGUUGGAUACAUUAGCAUGGAAUAAUGAGAUAGGGCCACGGCGGUCUAUUUUGUUGGUUUGCACGUUGUGGUAAUGAUUAACAGGAACGGUUGGGGGUAUUCGUAUUCAAUUGUCAGAGGUGAAAUUCUUGGAUUUAUGGAAGACGAACUACUGCGAAAGCAUUUACCAAGGAUGUUUUCAUUAAUCA